rnacentral:ncRNA from 1 species
CAUGCAAGUAUCCGCUAACCAGUGAAAAUGCCCUUUUACUCGCUCACCCAGAACGAUCCACAAGGAGCUGGCAUCAAGCACACAACUGUAGCUCAAAACGCCUUGCUUAGCCACACCCCCACGGGAUACAGCAGUAAUAAAAAUUUAGCUAUGAACGAAAGUUUGACUAAGCUAUACUGAUGAGGGUUGGUCAAUCUCGUGCCAGCCACCGCGGUCAUACGAUUAACCCAAGUUAAUAAGAAUCGGCGUAAAGUGUGGUUAAAAUGUUAAUAAAAUAAAGUUAAAUUAGCUCUCCGCUGUAAAAAGCUAAAGAUCUAAAGUAAAUAAACUACCAAAGUGACUUUACUAAUUAAUGAAUCCACGAUAGCUGAGACACAAACUGGGAUUAGAUACCCCACUAUGCUCAGCCCUAAACUAUGGUAUUUAGUAACAAAAAUGCCCGCCAGAGAACUACAAGCCAGCGCUUAAAACUCAAAGGACUUGGCGGUGCUUCACAUCCAACUAGAGGAGCCUGUUACAUAAUCGAUAAACCCCGAUACACCCUACCAUCACUUGCUAAACCAGUCUAUAUACCGCCAUCUUCAGCAAACCCUUAAAAGGAAAAAUAGUAAGCUUAAAUGUACUCACAAAAACGUUAGGUCAAGGUGUAACCUAUGUGAUGGAGAAUAAUGGGCUACAUUUUCUUAAUAAGAACAACAACGAACUCCCAUAUGAAACCUAUAGGAUAAAGGAGGAUUUAGCAGUAAGUCAGGAAUAGAGUGCUUGGCUGAACCUGGCAAUGAAGCACGUACACACCGCCCGUCACCCUCCUCAAAUGACUAGGACCCAAAACCAUAUUUUAAUCCACAUGUCAUGAGAGGAGACAAGUCGUAACAAGGUAAGCAUACUGGAAAGUGUGCUUGGAUUAUUCAAAGUGUAGCUUAAACUAAAGCACCUGGCCUACACCCAGAAGAUUUCAUAAUUAUGACCACUUUGAACCAGACCUAGCUCUUAAYUAACUCAUUUCAACCACCUACACUUAAAAAAUAAAACAUUUACUUAUACUUAGUAUAGGAGAUAGAAAAUUUACUCAAGACGCAAUAGAAAUAGUACCGUAAGGGAAAGAUGAAAGAUAACUUAAAGUACAAAACAGCAGAGAUAUCCCCUCUUACCUUUUGCAUAAUGAACUAACUAGAACCCAYUUGACAAAGAGACCUGAAGCCAARACCCCCGAAACCAGACGAGCUACUUAUGGACAAUUACCAGAAUGAACUCGUCUAUGUAGCAAAAUAGUGAGAUGAUCUAUAAGUAGAGGUGAAAAGCCAACCGAGCCUGGUGAUAGCUGGUUACCCAAGAAAAGAAUCUUAGUUCAACCCAAAGCAUACCCUAAAAACACCUAAUUUUACUGUAAACUUUGGAGUAAUUCAAUAGAGGUACAGCUCUAUUGAAUAUGGAUACAACCUAAAAAGGAGAGUAACAAUAUUAUAUUAACAUAGUUGGCCUAAAAGCAGCCAUCAAUUAAGAAAGCGUUAAAGCUCAAACUUUAAAACUAUAAUAAUCCCAACAACAUUAACCUAACUCCCUAAUCUAGUAUUGGGUCAUUCUAUUAAUUAAUAGAAGUGAUAAUGUUAGUAUGAGUAACAAGAAAUAAUUCUCCGUGCACAAGCUUAUAUCAGAACGGAUGCCCACUGAUAGUUAACGAUACUAUAAAACUAAUCCCCCUAUAAAUCCAUUAUUAAUAAUAUCGUUGACCCAACACAGGAGUGCAACUCGGAAAGAUUAAAAGARAAAGAAGGAACUCGGCAAACACGAACUCCGCCUGUUUACCAAAAACAUCACCUCUAGCAUUACUAGUAUUAGAGGCACUGCCUGCCCAGUGACAUUAGUUAAACGGCCGCGGUACUCUGACCGUGCAAAGGUAGCAUAAUCAUUUGUUCUUUAAUUGAGGACUAGUAUGAAUGGCAAGACGAGAGUUCAACUGUCUCCUUUCUCCAAUCAGUGAAAUUGACCUUCCUGUGAAGAGGCAGGAAUAAUAUUAUAAGACGAGAAGACCCUAUGGAGCUUUAAU